UACGGAGGGUGCAAGCGUUAUCCGGAUUCACUGGGUUUAAAGGGUGCGUAGGUGGGUAGGUAAGUCAGUGGUGAAAUCUCCAAGCUUAACUUGGAAACUGCCGUGGAUAUAUAAUCUUGAAUAUCGUGGAGGUAAGCGGAAUAUGUCAUGUAGCGGUGAAAUGCUUAGAUAUGACAUAGAACACCAAUUGCGUAGGCAGCUUACUACACGAUCAUUGACGCUGAUGCACGAAAGCGUGGGGAGCAAACAGG
rnacentral:rRNA from 1 species